rnacentral:rRNA from 1 species
GGGGGAUAUUGCACAAUGGGGGAAACCCUGAUGCAGCGACGCCGCGUGGAGGAAGAAGGUUUUCGGAUUGUAAACUCCUGUCGUUAGGGACGAUAAUGACGGUACCUAACAAGAAAGCACCGGCUAACUACGUGCCAGCAGCCGCGGUAAAACGUAGGGUGCAAGCGUUGUCCGGAAUUACUGGGUGUAAAGGGAGCGCAGGCGGACCGGCAAGUUGGAAGUGAAAACUAUGGGCUCAACCCAUAAAUUGCUUUCAAAACUGCUGGCCUUGAGUAGUGCAGAGGUAGGUGGAAUUCCCGGUGUAGCGGUGGAAUGCGUAGAUAUCGGGAGGAACACCAGUGGCGAAGGCGACCUACUGGGCACCAACUGACGCUGAGGCUCGAAAGCAUGGGUAGCAAACAGGAUUAGAUACCCUGGUAGUCCAUGCCGUAAACGAUGAUUACUAGGUGUUGGAGGAUUGACCCCUUCAGUGCCGCAGUUAACACAAUAAGUAAUCCACCUGGGGAGUACGACCGCAAGGUUGAAACUCAAAGGAAUUGACGGGGGCCCGCACAAGCAGUGGAGUAUGUGGUUUAAUUCGAAGCAACGCGAAGAACCUUACCAGGUCUUGACAUCCGAUGCAUAGUGCAGAGAUGCAUGAAGUCCUUCGGGACAUCGAGACAGGUGGUGCAUGGUUGUCGUCAGCUCGUGUCGUGAGAUGUUGGGUUUAAGUCCCGCAACGAGCGCAACCCUUAUUGCCAGUUACUACAAAAGAGGACUCUGGCGAGACUGCCGUUGACAAAACGGAGGAAGGUGGGG